rnacentral:rRNA from 1 species
AAGUAAAACCCUUAACCAAAAAGAUAGGGCUAUAGUUUUUAAUAAAAUCUUCUUUAAAAUAUGAAACCAUGUCAACAAAAAGAACUGAAACAUCUUAGUAUACCUAAAAAUAAGCUAGUUAGUAUUGGCGAAAGAAAACUAGCAUUAAAUAAAUUAACUCUGAGUUAUACAGAAAAACUAACUAAGCACCUAUAAAGAAAGUACUGUGAAGGAAAUCCCACUAUGGUUAAGAUAAUCUAUGAUAACCAUAUACCUUUUGUAUAAUGGACUUACUAGAAAAAGAAUUUAUAAAUUUGUAGAUGUCUAACAUAAACAUAAUAAAUUUUACCCGAAACCUGGCGAUCUAAAUGUGAACAAGCUUAGGCUUAACCAGUGAUUGUAGAAGAACUCUUGGAUGAUUUGCAUUUAGCAGUGAAAAGCUAAACGAGCCUGGAUAUAGCUGGUUCUUUACGAAAUAUAUAUAAGUAUAGCAAUUUUUAUAAAUUGACAGCCAAGAAACCCAAAGGUUCCUAGGCUAAAAGAAAAUAAUCUUAAUCAAAAGGAAUUGUUUUAAAUCUUUGAAUCUAAAAAAUGAGACUCUUACUAACCAUGAGAAGAUAGGCUUAGAAACUGCCAUACUCCUAAAAGUACGUAAUAGUUCACCCAAUGAAAGAGUUCUCACUAAAAUUUAUAGAUCUUAUAACAUUACCUUUGAAAAAUUGGUAGUAAAGUAUUUCAAAUAUAUUAGGAAACUAUUGAAAGAAAAAAUGUAAGUAUGAAUAAAUUAUAAUUUUCUCCGAGAUUUCUUAUUUUAAUAAUGAAUAAGGUUAAACAGACUCUCAAAAACAAGGAGUAUAAGGAACAAAUUACAAGAAAAACCCUUAAUAUUACUGUAUUUAACUAACUCAAGUGGAGACAAUAAAAUAGCACAAUUCUCGCAAAGUAACUCGGCAAAAUGAAUAUCGACUGUUUACCAAAAACAUAGCCCCCGUAGCUAUCGGAGGUGUGACCUGCCCAAUGAUUUUAAACUUAGAAUAACCUUCUAAUAAAAAAUUUAAAGGACGCGGUAUCUUGACCGUGAUAAUGUAGCAUAAUCACUCGCCAUUUAAUUGAUGGAUUGUAUGAAUGGUUCGACGAAUAUUCCACUGUCUUUGCAAGAAACCUCUUUAAAUUGAAAUAACAGUUAAGAUGCUGUUUAAGUUUAUAAGACGAAAAGACCCUAUAGAGCUUAACCAUAAUCUCCUUCAACAUAAAAAAGUAUUAAAUACCAGGGAGAUUGGUGGUUUGGUUGGGGCGACCGCCUUUUAUAUAAAACAAAGGCAAGCAAAAUUAAUCCUAAAUUUAUUGUAAAGACCACAAUCUUAACAAUUACUAACGUAGGCGAUAAUGACCCGUUGCAUAGUUAUAACACAAGCAACGAUCAAUGAAUAAAAGCUACCUUAGGGAUAACAGGGUAAUCUUCUCCUAGAGAUCUUAUCGAAGAGAUGGUUUGCCACCUCUAUGUUGAAUUAAGGUAUCCUCUUAAUGCAGAAGUUAAGAAAGGUAGGUCUGUUCGACCUUUAAAACCUUACAUGA